rnacentral:rRNA from 1 species
UAUGCCUACGGGACGCAGCAGUGAGGAAUAUUGGUCAAUGGGCGGGAGCCUGAACCAGCCAAGUCGCGUGAGGGAAGACGGUCCUAUGGAUUGUAAACCUCUUUAGGCGGGGAGCAAUGCCGGGCACGCGUGUCCGGAGGGAGAGUACCCGUAGAAUGAGCAUCGGCUAACUCUGUGCCAGCAGCCGCGGUAAUACGGAGGAUGCGAGCGUUAUCCGGAUUUAUUGGGUUUAAAGGGUGCGUAGGCGGAUUUUUAAGUCAGCGGUAAAAUGUCCGGGCUCAACCCGGGCCGGCCGUUGACACUGG